AUCUGAGUCCGAUCCGUUCCCACCCCCCGUUUUCCCUGCUUUCUUUUUCCCCCUCCUCCCUCACGUCCUGGUCUGCCUCGUCGGCGCUGGCGGCGAUAGGGCCGCUGCUCGUGUGAUGGAUCUCCGUCGCGAGGGGGGGAGGAGGCGACCAGGCCCUCGUCCACGGAGGCGCCGCCAACCAUCCUCUACAGCCGGGGGGUGGUCGUGUUCGAGGUCUUCUCGGCGGCCGAGGUCAUGCGCUUGGCCGCCGGGGCGCUCGGGCGGCGACCCCCGCCCUGGCCCCGAACGACGACCUGCCCAUCGCCAGGAAGGCGUCGUUGCAGCGGUUCCUGGCAAAGCGCGAGGACGCCUCAUCGAGCACGCGCCCUACGCCCACCCGUCCCCCGUGGAGGAGGCCGAGAAGAAGAAGUCGGCUGCCUGGCUCGGGCUCGGGAGUGCGGACUCCGACCGCCUCACCAUCGCGCUCUGGUUUGGAGCUCGCCGGGUUGCUGCAACAUGUGGGGGAUCGAUUAGUAGUGAUUUAAUUGUCUAAUUGGGCGGGUUCCUAGGGUUGGAAUCGGAUUGGAUUGGAUCGAAACUUCCUGCUGCCGCCGCCGGGGCACCGAGUGCAACGCUGUUGCCUCGUUCGACCUCGCGGCGGAGGCCGUCCCUCCGCCGCCCGCUCUGCUCCUCAAGCGGCGCCGGCGCCCGCCACGUCUGCCGCGCGCACCUGAGCUUGGCGGAGCUGGACGGCUGCCUGGCCGCGGUGCACCACGACUACCCGGCCGGCUGCAUCGACAUGUGGCUGCUGGUGGACCUGGAGCAGGGGCGGUCAACGGUGCGAACACUGCCAUCCUCUCUGACGCCAAUGCCUAUAUGAAUCUACGACCUCUCCGGGAAUGGGAGCGUCUCCCUGGAAGGUGUUGUGGCACUGCUUGAUAUAGAGUUUGCCAACGGAGAGUGAGUCUCAGAAGAAGAAGAUCAUGGCAAAUGAGCGGCUUGCCGAGUUAGCUUUGACUGAUCCCAAAAGAGUGUCAGCAUUCUGGCAAAUCGACAGUCAGUGGCAAUGUCAAAGGAGCGCAAGAUGAGGUACAUUCAGUAGCUUGAGCACAAGAUGCAAGUAUUGCAGACAGAGGGUACGACACUAUCGGCACAGUUGACAAUGUUGCAUUGCAGGUUUGCUCUGUAGAGUUGGUGGGGAUUAAGUUUUGGGUACCAUUCUGAUGGUUAAGACUUAAGACUAAGUUAUCUUGUUAUGCUUGUCUGCUUACCAUUUACAUGGUUGCUCCUCCUUCACCCAUGGGACACAGCUACAAUGUUAGGCAAAGACCUUUUGCGCUUGCUUUGCGAAGUAACCAAAGGUUUUUUAAUGCUUCGCAGAAAUAGCAGAACUGGUUUGAGUUGUUUAUGGCUUGCUCACCAAGAGGAGGGACCUCAUAUAUGGAUUAGUUCAGAAGUUCUUUUUUUAUGGCUCAGUUUGUCUAGAGGUUCCUCCCAGUGAUAUGAAAUAUCUCUCUAAGUAUUAAGAGAAAAAGUAAUACUUGCUAUGCUUUACUUAUAUGACCACUCAUUAAUUCUUUCCCUGUGAAGUGUUCUAGCUAAAUUUUAUUGCCAUCGUUUUAUUAAUCUUCCACAUAUUUGAAGGUGACAGUUACGUGUAAUUUUUCUCAAUGUCACCAUCUACCUUGGCAAAUAGGCAACAGAACCUGACAAUAUUUUGGUUUGAAAGCUCUGCAUAUGAAAAUGUUGAGUGCUUAUAAGUUACACAUAUCGUGUACAAAGUGACAAAUUACAGGUACAGAGAUGUAUCUUUUAGUUUAUUCUGUGUCUUCCCAUUUUUUUUAUUGAAUGACUUUAUAAAUUGACCCUUAUUGAAAGUAUUUUAGUUAAUUUUUUAACAACAAAAUUAUCUUUCAGCAAAUAAAAGUGGAUGUUUGUGCUGUCAGUGUUUGCUUCUUUGCCAUCACAUCUGUUGCUUUCAAUUAUGGGCCUCAUUAUGUUAAUCCUUCAGGUAACAUUGUGGUUCCUUUUUUGGUUCUAUUGAUUAGGUUCUUCGUUUACGAUUUCAUCUUUAAAAUGUGGCAAAUAGUGAAAGGUAGAAAUUGGAAUGGUGUCUAGCUUAUAUCAAUAUUUGAAUAUCUGACUUGCAUGGAUUUUUAAUCCACUAAUUUGGUGUUUUUUUCUGCAUUGUUUGGUUCUGAUAUAUAUAUUAUGUAUAGAGAUGUUUUCAUCGACAAUCUUAAAUUUCCAUGUUUGAGUUCUGCAAUUUUUUCACCUCUAGUGACGGGUGUUUCAUUUUAUCCUUUUGAACAAUAUGUAAUUUAAGUUAGACUAGAUUAUUUUUUUCAUUCUGCAGCAAUGUAUAUGUUCAUAGAAGUCCUACUCAAUAAGUAUAAAAGAGUAUGGCUAAUUUAUUUUUGGUGGUCAUAAUUCUGCAUUGGUCAUGCAUGUGGAAAAGCCUCAAUGGAUCUGGUAAGGCAGUCUAGGGAUAUCUCAAUCCUUCUGCUCUUUUUCUGAAUAAACAACGCCAAACCUGUUGGAGACUGUCAUGUGGAAACAGUUUAGUAUCAUAAAGCUACAUCAUUAAGAGACAUCUGGAGGGAUAUAUUUAUUCAUUCACCUUUUAUGAAUUACUCAUUUUUAUAACAACCAAGUAGCCUAGAUUCCAGGCUUCAUAUUCUCUAAAAUUCAUUUUUAUAACAACCAAGUAGCCUUAUAUCUUAGGAUGGAGGGAGUAGAUGCAUGUGAAUUGCUUAGAUAUGCUGAUUCAUCACAUGAAUAACAUGAUUAUGCAUCUGUGAGAACCAUCUGUACUUUAUGCCUACCCUUUUUUACAACCUGCAUGCUAACUAGUGCUAGUAUAUAUUAAUAUCUUAGUAAGAAUAAAUGUAUCAAAAAUCAAGAUUAUGCAGUAGAGCAUGGUUUGCCUAUACUGAAAAAUGUACUCUUUCGACUCAAUUGUUGUUUGCAAGAGCUGAGGAAUUCUAUGGAUGUGAUGACACCUCAUACUUGCCUUUGGAAAAUUUCACUUCUUUAUUGUAGCAUUGGCAGACAAUUAGUUCGGCUAAUGUGUUCUGAAUUAGCAACUGUAACUUAUUAGAAGUUUACAUCUUACUCUAGAUUGUGGAUUUUUCUGUCCAAGUGGGCAGUAAAAUUCACUGUUAGUUGGACCAGCUGGCUGAUUUGCCCUCCAACUCUGUUCAUGGUAAUUGCGAAGCUGGUUGUGUGAAUAGUUCGCAACAUGUUGCUGGAAAGAUUCGCCUAUUUGGUUGCAUGGCUUGUAUGUUGCUGAUUGAUGCAAUUUAUGAUAUCACAAUAGCAUAUAAACUUUGGCUACAGACUUUUGUGGAUAAUGUUUAUGGCAUCGGUUCUUCUGAAGUCCACAUCCAUAUCAACAGCAUCCAAGUCUCUUGACAUACUAACAACAGAAGACAAAUGGCUGGCUAGCUGAUCGAGUGGUUCCCACUAGAGGACGAGCUUGUGUCCAAUUUUUCACACACUGACUACUUACUGAAUGAAGGGACUGGAGGGGAUCUGUCAGCACUCAAGUACCUUGCGAAUUUCAUAGCAAUGGUCAAUGUUAUAUGCAUCCUUGUUCAUACCUGACCCUGUUUUAAUCCGUGUGGUUCAAGGUUUUCGUAGCCGUUUAGCUAUGCGUAACUUGAUCGUGACCUGCUGCUGGAGGCUUGAUUGUAGCUUGUGUUGUAGGUGAAAGCUUGAUGGCACAACUUGUAACGAACACAUUCAUGAGUUUGUGUGCUUAUGUGUUAAACGUGUAUCUGAUAGCCAGAAUUUUGUCUCUGGCUCAGCCACCGACUAUUAUUUGCCUGAAUGUGACUUCUUUUUAGUA